UCCUUCCAUCUCGAAGCCUCGCUCAUGGACGCCCUGCUGAAUGACCGGCCCGAGUUCGUGCGCUUGCUCAUCUCCCACGGCCUCAGCCUGGGCCGCUUUCUGACCCCGAUGCGCCUGGCCCAACUCUACGGCGCGGCGCCCCCCCACUCGCUCAUCCGCAACCUUUUGGACCAGGCGUCCCACAGCGCAGGCACCAAAGCCCUUCCCCAAAAAGGGGAGCUGCGGAGCCCCGGCCCCCUGACGUGGGGCAUGUGCUGAGGAUGCUGCUGGGGAAGAUGUGCGCGCCGAGGUACCCCUCCGGGGGCGCCUGGGACCCUCACCCAGGCCAGGGCUUCGGGGAGAGCAUGUGUCUGCUCUCCGACAAGGCCACCUCGCUGCUCUCGCUGGAUGCUGACCUUGGGCAGGCCCCCUGGAGUGACCUGCUUAUUUGGGCACUGCUGCUGAACAGGGCACAGAUGGCCAUGUACUUCUGGGAGAUGGGUUCCAAUGCAGUUUCCUCAGCUCUUGGGGCCUGUUUGCUGCUCCGGGUGAUGGCACGUUUGGAGCCUGAUGCUGAGGAGGCAGCACGGAGGAAAGACCUGGCGAUCAAGUUUGAGGGGAUGGGCGUUGACCUCUUUGGUGAGUGCUAUCACAGCAGUGAGGUAAGGGCUGCCCGCCUCCUCCUCCGUCGCUGCCCGCUCUGGGGGGAUGCCACUUGCCUGCAGCUGGCCAUGCAAGCUGAUGCCCGUGCCUUCUUUGCCCAGGAUGGGGUACAGUCUCUGCUGACACAGAAGUGGUGGGGAGAUAUGGCCAGCACUACACCCAUCUGGGCCCUGGUUCUUGCCUUCUUUUGCCCCCCACUCAUCUACACCCGCCUCAUCACCUUCAGGAAAUCAGAAGAGGAGCACACACGGGAGGAGCUACAGUUUGACAUGGAUAGUGCCGUUAACGGAGAAGGGCCUGUUGGGACGGCGGACCGCGCCGAGAAGACGCCGCUGGGGGUCCCGCGCCAGCCCGGCCGCCGGGAUUGCUGCGGGGGCUACUGCGGGGGCCACUGGUGCCUACGCCGCUGGUUCCACUUCUGGGGAGCGCCGGUGACCGUCUUCAUGGGCAACGUGGUCAGCUACCUGCUGUUCCUGCUGCUGUUCGCGCGGGUGCUGCUCGUGGAUUUCCAGCCGGCGCCACCCGGCGCCCUGGAGCUGCUGCUCUACUUCUGGGCGUUCACACUGCUGUGCGAGGAGCUGCGCCAGGGCCUGAGCGGAGGCGGGGGCAGCUUGGCCAGCGGGGGCCCCGGGCCCGGCCAUGCCUCACUGAGCCAGCGCCUGCGCCUCUACCUCGCCGACAGCUGGAACCAGUGCGACCUAGUGGCCCUCACCUGCUUCCUCCUGGGCGUGGGCUGCCGGUGAGUGCCCCGGGGCCUCUGGCCACCUCUCAUCCUUCCUGCCCACUCCCGGGGUC
rnacentral:lncRNA from 10 species